UCCGGGCCUCUGGGAAAUUGGGUGGAGGGCGUGCCCAGGCCAAGCGGGGCCGCCCUCCGUUUUAGCCGGGGAGCCAGGGCCAGGGGGCCAGGCCAGGGCUCCAUUCACGUGUCCGGAGAGGGCCCGGGCCGUCCGAACUCGGCGUGUGGCGGCGUCGUGAAGGGGGCGGGAGAUGGGGGCCCGCAGGAAAGGAGCUGUGUGACCUGAGACAAGUUAGUUAACUCCUCUGUGCCUGCCUUUUCUCAUCUGCGGAGUGGAGACAGUUACAACACCUUCCUCAGAAAAGCAGCUGACUUAAUACGUGGCUAUUGUGAGCGGAUACACAUAAAACAUUCACACCAAUACUGGCACGAGGAUUUUCAGACAAGUGGAAAAAAACAGAACAUUCCUCUGAAGGCUUCCUGCAGUGGAGGAAAGGUUUCCCUUUCUUCCCCUUGAUAGUGACCCUGUUUCUCAGGCGGUCAGAGAGCGGAGAGAGAGAACAUCCAGGCCUCCCUGGGCACCAAGCAGCGGUUGUAUUCGUGCUGGGAAUUGGAAGUCCUUGGCACAGACGAGGAAGGAGCAGGCUGCACUUUGCUGCUGGAGACCCGGGCUUCCUGUCAGCUGUCCUGAGCAGCUCCCUUGGGGUCUGGCACAGCGCCUUGCUGUUGACACGUGGGCGUCCCUGGUCCCAGAGAGCCCACCCUUCUGGUGCGUGUGCCAGUUUCCUGGGCGAGCCGUAACGAAUCACCGAAACUUGGCGUCUUAAAACAACAGAAAUGUAUUCUCUCGAAGUUCUGGAGGCUGGAGGUCUGGAAUCAGAGCUCCUUUGGGGACUUGACAUGAGGCUACUUCCCAUGUCUUCUGCUCUUGGUGGCCCCAGGCUCCCGCGGCUUGCAGCUGCUUCUCUGUCUCCAGGGUCAUGACCUUCUCCUCUGUAUGAGGUCAAGUCUCCCUGUGCCUCCCCCCAUAAGAACCUUUGUGAUCACAUUUAGCUCCCCCCCCCCCAGUAAUUCCCGACAGCCUCCCCAUCUCGAUUUCACAAUGUCAGCUACAUUUUUUUUGCCAUAUAAGGUGACAUUCACAGGCUGCAGGGAGUAGGACAGGGACAUCUUUUGGGAUCUGUGGGUGGGAUUAAAUACUUGGUGAAUUUUGAGGUA